CCAGAAGAAGGAGAUGAAGAAGCCUAGAUUCCAUAAUGCGGGAGUCCCAGAUCCUCAAAGUACGAUGAUUCGCCAAAUCAAGAAAUGAGGAUUAGGAAGCAGUCACCCUCGAAAGGAACUAAAUCAUCACCUUGGGAAUUGUGGCCAGUCAUGAGACAUGCAUGAGGAGACUGAAGGGGGUUUUUGCAGUGCCAGGUGUGGAUUGAGAUUCAGCCUUGUAAGACUUACUCACUGAAAACUGGAAUUUGCUUAGUUCCAAGAACAAAGUGUGCUUUGUACACUUGCUGGUGCCAUUUGUGGCUGAGAAGAACUUUCUCGGAUUGCUUUGGAAUGAUGAAGAGUGUGUCUCUCAUCCAAGAACUGAAAUGAUACCUUCAGGUGAGUCCAGAGUCCAAAUCCUCAAAGGAGGGAUUUAGGAAAGGAUUCGAGAGGAUCAGGUUUAAACCAAACAAUCCCUUAAGAAGAAAUUCCAUUCAAGUUCUUUCUUUAAAACAGGAAAUUAAACAGAGUCAUUAUAAGGCAAACUCAAGAGAGUGGUAGCA
rnacentral:lncRNA from 1 species